UUGUAUUCUAUUUAUAAAAUUAUGAUUUGCAAACUAUAUGUAUUCCCCUUCAGUAUUAUUUUUUUCAUUUUUUUUUGUGUGCAUAUUUGUAUUUUACAUAAAUGUUAUUAUGUUACUGUGAUAUUCUUUAUUUAAUAUCAAAAGUUUAAAUACGCGCCGGACGAACAGAGUUUACAACGCAUGCUUAAUGUCCUGACAGACUUGUGCUCAUCUUGAAAGUUUUUCAUAAACCCAGAAAGGAUGAAAGUAGUUCUCUUUAGAACACCAUCGUUUGAUAUUUGAGACUUUAAUUUUACAAG
rnacentral:lncRNA from 1 species